ACAAAGGCUCUUUUCAGAGCCACCUACAAGAUCUCUAAAAGACUGU
rfam:Rattus norvegicus chromosome 17, whole genome shotgun sequence.